rnacentral:tRNA from 1 species
GGAUUGCUAGCUCAAUGGUAGAGCAGUUCCCUUUUAAGGAAUAGGUUGUAGGUUCAAGUCCUACGCAAUCCA